rnacentral:lncRNA from 1 species
AUAAACUGCCACAUUUAAGUUUCUUACUUUUAAUUCUUAUUCUUAAGCUCUUUUUUAUUUUUUUUAUUUUUCUUAAUCUGAUAGGUAAUAUACAAUAUUUAUAAUAUUAAACAAACAAACAUACACAUAUAUAUAUAUAUAUAUAUAUAUAUAUAUAUAUAUAUAUAUAUAUACGUAUUUACAAUUGUUUGUGCUCGUUCUCCAACCCUCUUUAAAAGAAAAAAAAAAAAAAAAAAUGAACAGAUUGAUCAGUAAGCUUAUUUUUUGUAUAUAUCUUUUAAACUUAUGUUUACAUUUAUGUGUUACAAGUGCAUCCGAAAAUGUGGAAAUUGAAAAGAAAGCACAAGCUAGUAGACACUACUUAAGAAAUGGAAUGGGUGAUAAUCCAACCGAAAUUACCGACUUAGUGGUAAAUCCAGUGUUAAGUCCAGCGACAGAACAAGAACAAAAAGAACAGCAAGAAGAAGAACAAGACGAAGAAGAAUAUGGAGAAGAAGAAGAACAAGAACAGGAAGAGCAAGAAGAACAAGAAGAACAAGAACAAGAAGAACAAGAACAAGAUGAAGAAGAAUUAGAACAAGAACUAGAAAACGAACUAGAACAAGAAAUAAACAAAUUUUCACAAGAGGAUGAAAACAAGGAUAUAGACAGUAAAACUAUAAUUGAACCUUCAAUAAAAGAAAAACAAGAACACGAACCCAGCGCUGAAGAUGUUGAAAAUGUGAGUGAAUUAUUUGAACAUUCCAAAACCAUUACAGAUGAAACAAAUAUGUUAUUAACCCAAUUAAAAGCUAAUAUAGAGAAAGAGAAAAAAAAAAUUGAGGCAUUAAAAAAAAAAUUGUAUAAAUUAAAUUUAUUAACAAAAGAUGAUAUUACUCCUUCUCUCUCUCCUUAUGAGGUCGAUGGUAAAAACAUAAUACAUAUAUUAGAAGAAAACAUAAAUAAGUACCUAAAUGAAAUUCAUGCAAAAAAACAACAACUAGAUGAAUUAACAAUUGAAUUAAAUAUGAAACAGAAUGAGAUGGAAGAAAAAAAAAAAAAAAACUGAAAAUGAAGUUACACAACAAGAACAAAAUUUGAAAC